UUUAUUUAGGUUUACUUUGAUAAUUGGAAAAAUAAAAAUUAGACAAUCGUAGAACUAUCUUUUGAUUAUUUAUCAAGAUUAUGGUUUUCUUCAGGCUUAUAAUAAAUACUCUUAUUGCAGCAUUCACUUUUUAUUAGAACUUAGAAGUGAUAUAACAAUUUGGAGAACGAAUCCACUUCUUACAUAAACCAACAUCUCAUUAUGUCGUAAUAUCGUACAUGGGGAUUCAAAUGAUUAUACAGUUCAUGCAAAUAUGCAAAGAAACUGAGAAUUUGAACCGAGAUUUGCUUUUCAAAUAUCAAUUUACGGGGAAAGAUCUUAAAAUUAAACCCUAACUCCUCGUUUUUUGGCACAUAGAGCUAAACUUGGAUGAGUAUAUGCCACCUUGUAUCUUCGAUCAUCAAUUGGGUAAAAAAAUAUGCCACCUUCUUUCCUCCACCUUGACUGUGCCAUACUCGGAUACUCCCCUGUUUGAUGGAUCCUUGAAAAGGGUAAAGAGAGUUCCACAUGAAGUUCUAGGUGACAAUAUCAUUCCUUGACUAGGCCAUUUUUUUUAAUUUCUUGGAAGAAGAGGAGGAUCGAUCAGCAUGGCCAGAGCAUGCAAACCAACUAUGGUGUGUGUGAGUGGUGAAUCCAAAAAAGGGCAAGAAAACUUCCAUGAUGCUAUGCUCUCAAAGGCCAACAAAUACAAUUACAGCCACCCAAAAAAGCUACAUUUAAAGCCAUGAUGGUGGAGUAGAAG
rnacentral:lncRNA from 1 species